UCUUGCCGCUGUCGAGUAGAGUGUGAAAUUGGUGGUUACCGUACGCACCUGAAACGCGUAGAGAACGGCCUUGGAGCUGACUAGAGAGGGCGUUAAGGCUUGAUAUGUCCCCGGACACAUCCUCAUUGAGAAGCUUCCUCAAUAUCAAUAUCAUGUCAUCAUCAUCAACCACCAAGUAGCAAGAGAACUUUGCUACGACAACGAUGAGAUGGAUUCCAUUUUUCGUCACACUUGAAACAAAGGCCUUUAGAACGGCGAUCACGAACUCUGCCGGUGGAAGGUGACGGCGGGUAAGGUG
rnacentral:lncRNA from 1 species